UGUUACACCAGUUUUCUUUAAACUUUAACUCUAGAAUAAAUGUAUAGGUGUAUAUUACAAUUUGUUGCUAUUUCUAUCAAAUGUUAAUAUCUUAAUAAUCAACCUGGUCAAAACCUUUCAGGUUUCUUCGUUUGAGUCAGUCGCCUUGAUUCAGAAUGUCACGAGCCUUAAGAUUUCAUGCUGAGGCGCCUUGCAAAUCCGACACUUAAGAUCCUCCUAGACCUUGAGGUGAUCAGCAUAAGAGGCCAGAUCCCCUCGAGCCAUCUACACGUAGCUUCACCUUAUUCUUUAAGGGCAGAAAAUUUGAGACGGUGACCGCCGUAACAGUAAAUUUGGCUUUCAAUUGGGGCCCCCCUCCGGUUUAGAAAGAGGAACACCAGAUUGACCACAUUCCCACCUAGAAAAAUCUUCUUGCGUCAAUCAAGCCUCACCCUGGCUCAUUGGGCUGUCAGUUUGAUCGUCGUUAGAUUGAAGAGAACACCUAGAUGCAGCGAUCGGCUAUAGAUACUUCUAGAUCGUCUAGAUCUGCUAGACCUUGGGCCAAAGAGGGUCGACCUGCAAACUUGCAAGGUCCCGGUCUAGAUCACGCUCGAGGUCCCGUGGAAGGAGAUAUUCUCGGUCACGCAGUCGGAGCCGUGGUAGGAGGUCCAGGUCAGCUUCCUAUCGUAGGUCCCGGUCCGUUUCUCCUCGUAGGUCUAGGUCCGUGUCUCCUCGCCGGUCCCGAUCGGCUUCCUUGAAGAGAUCAAGGUCUAGAUCAAGAUCCAGAUCUAGGUCAAGAUCUGUUACAUGGCCCCGAAGCAGGUCUAGGUCUCAUGGCAGAUCAAAGUCUGGCUCUCCAGCUAAGAGUCGGUCAAAGUCCCGAUCACCAUCUCCAAAGAGAAGCCGCUCACCAUCAGGAAGCCCGCAAAGAAGUGCAAGUCCUGAAAGAAUGGAUUAAAGUUAUGAAGUUAAUCUUUUAGGAAGAAAGUUAUUUUGCUUACAUUAUUAUAAGGGAUUUUGUGGUGUCUUUGUAAAUGUAAGAAUGUAGAUAGAAGAGUAUAUCGACUAAAAUUUGGCAUGAUCUGGGUCUUCUGAGUUAGUCACACCAAUAGACUAGCACAGGUCUCUUUUUAUUGUAUGAAAUAACUUCCUGUGAUAUGAAAAUGUGGGACUUUUUUAUUGGCACAUUGAAAUAAAAUGUGUAUUUUUAACUAAAA